GCUAGGCUCUCCAGUCGGUCCGGCAGGCUCCCACGGGGGGUUCGGCGGCGGGCGCCGCUUUCCCGGCGACCCCCCUUCAGUGCGCGCCGCGCCGAGGGCAGAUCCGGUGUGAGCCGCCGCUGCCGCCGCCCCCUUGCCUCCUCCUCCCUCACGGGGUCCCUCCCACUGAGGCCCGCCUCGUAUUUCCUGGAUCCGGUCUCAGGGAGAGGUUGGCCAAAGAACUGCCGGCUUCAGGGCUUCCGUCGGACGCCUUCGCUCGCCAGACACAAAGAUGGCACCGCCCGGACCUGCGCCUUUCACUGGGAAGAGUAAUUGACACAACCCAGGACACAAAUGGUGCUUUUUCUCUGCCAGACCUCUCUGCUCAGCUCCUGGUCUCCUUGACUUUUCACUGUUACUGUUAAUCAGUUGUUUUGAAUACCUUCCCAGAGAAGAUUUUAGAGCUUAUUUGUGGAAACAACUAGGAACUUGCUGGCAAGACUCUAUUGCUGAAGGUGCAUACUUGAGUCAUAGAAGAAAUCAAGCUGGUAUUGAUCUGGAAGCUUCAUAAACUCCAGCUACUUUUCAUCAUAUGGAAGUUUCUAUGAGUGUUAUUGGUGAAGAAAAGUAACCAACAGUAUUACCCAACUGAACUUUGCAUUCUACAGUAACAACUGGCCUGGCAAGAUACACCCAUGGAUGUCAAAUACCACGAGUGUUAUGGGAGUAACAAAUUGCUUUCUGAUUGGAUUUAAGGCCUGCUCUACAGACAGACCUCAUAUGUGGUAGUUUACUAGUACAAAGACCUGUGGAUAGGCCAUAGGCCAUAGGAGAGGUCCUCAUACUAUUAUUCUACUAAAUUGACACAGUAAUUAACUAUCCUCUAAAUUCUUAUCUUUAUACAUAUAGAUAAGCAUGCCACUCAACCCUCAUCAAAAAAGCUUUUUGUAGCAGAUGGUGAUUAAUAUAGAGACCCACAACUGGACAACGUGUAGAGAAUAAGACACUAUGAAUGUAUAACCACAAAUGGGACAUUUAUGUCUACUCAAAGCUCAGGGAUCAUUGCCAAAGAGAUGAUGAAAUGAUUGCAAGAGCCAGAGUUCCUGGACAUCUGCAGUGAAACUGUUUUCUAGACAUAAGAAAAAUGCACAAAUGAGCUCACAGUGACUGUUACUGCACACAUAAAACCUGCACUGGGUCAAUCUAGACAAAAUUCCCAACAUGAAUAACGAGGGGCUGGUAAAACGCUAUCCCCAGCUGAGGAGAUAUUGGCAAAUCAUGGCUUCUGGCAGAUGGAGAGGCAGUUUCCUUCAGGAAUAUGGUCCCUGAGAGACUACCUGUUGCAGUAAAUAAUAAAAAAGAUACUCCCACCCACGUUAUUGCAGGCACUGGUGCACCACAUUACAACUGCAGGAUAUUUUCAUCUCAAUCAGCAAAAUGUCUCCACCUGACUUGCCAAGUUACCAAUUUCCAUCCCACACUGUCACCAGCUACUCUGUGGGCCCUGCAGUGAUCUCACCGCUAUGGCUAGCCCCAGAAGUGACCACCCUUCUAUUUCUCAUGGUGCUGGCCACUGCCAUGCCUGCCACAUUCAGCUAUCUACCCCCUGUGGUUAUAGUCACAAUUCC
rnacentral:sRNA from 1 species